rnacentral:rRNA from 1 species
UACGUAGGGUGCAAGCGUUGUCCGGAAUUAUUGGGCGUAAAGAGCUCGUAGGCGGUCUGUCGCGUCUGCUGUGAAAACUCGGGGCUUAACCCCGGGCCUGCAGUGGGUACGGGCAGACUAGAGUGCGGUAGGGGAGACUGGAAUUCCUGGUGUAGCGGUGAAAUGCGCAGAUAUCAGGAGGAACACCGGUGGCGAAGGCGGGGUCUCUGGGCCGUAACUGACGCUGAGGAGCGAAAGCAUGGGGGAGCGAACAGG